UACGUAGGCAGCAAGCGUUGUUCGGAAUUACUGGGCGUAAAGGGCUCGUAGGCGGCCAACUAAGUCAGACGUGAAAUCCCUCGGCUCAACCGAGGAACUGCAUCCGAUACUGGCGGGCUUGAAUCCGGGAGAGGGAUGUGGAAUUCCAGGUGUAGCGGUGAAAUGCGUAGAUAUCUGGAGGAACACCGGUGGCGAAGGCGGCAUCCUGGACCAACACUGACGCUGAGUGAGCGAAAGCCAGGGGAGCAAACGGG
rnacentral:rRNA from 1 species